rnacentral:rRNA from 1 species
GAUGAACGCUGGCGGCGUGCCUAAUACAUGCAAGUCGAGCGAACAGACGAGGAGCUUGCUCCUCUGACGUUAGCGGCGGACGGGUGAGUAACACGUGGAUAACCUACCUAUAAGACUGGGAUAACUUCGGGAAACCGGAGCUAAUACCGGAUAAUAUAUUGAACCGCAUGGUUCAAUAGUGAAAGACGGUUUUGCUGUCACUUAUAGAUGGAUCCGCGCCGCAUUAGCUAGUUGGUAAGGUAACGGCUUACCAAGGCGACGAUGCGUAGCCGACCUGAGAGGGUGAUCUGCCACACUGGAACUGAGACACGGUCCGGACUCCUACGGGAGGCAGCAGUAGGGAAUCUUCCGCAAUGGGCGAAAGCCUGACGGAGCAACGCCGCGUGAGUGAUGAAGGUCUUCGGAUCGUAAAACUCUGUUAUUAGGGAAGAACAAAUGUGUAAGUAACUAUGCACGUCUUGACGGUACCUAAUCAGAAAGCCACGGCUAACUACGUG